GAUGAACGCUGACAGAAUGCUUAACACAUGCAAGUCGAUGGGGAAGUGGUGCUUGCACCAUGGCAACCAUGGCGGACGGGUGAGUAACGCGUAAGGGACUUACCUGCAGGACUGGGAUAACAGGGGGAAACUCCUGACAAGACCGGAUAAUGUCAUGGAGCUGCAUGGCUUUAUGAUGAAAGGAGACGCCUGCGGAGAGCCUUGCGUCCUAUUAGCUAGUUGGUGAGGUAAUGGCUCACCAAGGCGAAGAUAGGUAGCCGGCCUGAGAGGGUGGACGGCCACAAGGGGACUGAGAUACGGCCCUUACUCCUACGGGAGGCAGCAGUGGGGAAUAUUGGACAAUGGGGGCAACCCUGAUCCAGCAAUUCUGUGUGCACGAAGAAGGUUUUCGGAUUGUAAAGUGCUUUCAGCAGGGAAGAAGUAAGUGACGGUACCUGCAGAAGAAGCGACGGCUAAAUACG
rnacentral:rRNA from 1 species